GGGUGGUGCAGUGGGUCAGUGCAUUUGGCUGUUAAGCAAAAGGUUGGUGGUUCGAGCCCAUCCAGGGACA